rnacentral:lncRNA from 1 species
CCCUCCAUAUUUCUUUUGAAGUCUCCCAGCUGAUCUUCUUCAUUUGCUGGUAAAGUCCCCUGUAGAGGAGAGUUUAAUAUGGUGGAAAUAGUACUUUGCUACUUCCUAUCUUCCCUUUUGCAGCAUUAAAAUCAAAUUGGAGAGACCAACAAAAUCUUCUUUCGAGGUGAGAAAUAUCCCUUCUAUCCAUCUCUUUAAACUUCUGCUAACUGAAACUCAUGACGGGAAAGAAAAUAUUAAUGGUUCUUGAAAAUUAUUUUGUAAUGUUUGGUUACAUUCAAUUGUUAAAGUGUUUUCUCCAAGAAUUUCCCCCAAAAGUGUAACAUGACUCGCUUAAUUUCGGUUGGUUCAACUAACAUUAAACAAGAUUGUCAACUUUGAGUUUUAAAUAUACCAUAAGAACGUGACCGUCAUAUCUUAUCAUUUAUCUUAUAAUACGAACUACAUAGAAAUUUCAUGUGCAAUUACUUUUAUACCGAACCUAACACUAGAAAACAAUCUUAAAAAAAAUUGAUUUUACAAUACAAAGAGCAUUGUCUACACAAACAUUCAAUAAAAAUCAUUUCCUGACACUUUAACGUAUGAAUUAUGACAACUCUCAAGAAUCUGAUGUUGUAUUUAAAGGUAGCUUCAUUGGGAGGUCUCUGCCUUGACAUUGACUAUUUACCUUCCGUCUAGGCAAAGUUACAAUGUUAGUUUGUUACAUCAUAUUCAAAGCCUUUCUUAAGUAAUGAAUCAGCAUAAUUCCUUAAAUGCAAACUCACUCAAUCAUGAGAAAGGAAAUAGAACUAUCAAACCCGUAACAGAAGGCAAACUCCUGGCUUGGACACUGGUGAAAGUUACCAUACGGUAUCCAAACCCCACUAAUCCCACUAAUACAAAUCAACAACCCCAGGAGUUUCUCCAUUCCCAGAACUCGAAAUCUCCAUUCCCAGAACUCGAAAUCGAGACUUGAUAAUAAGUCUUAAGAGUGGAGGGAUCCCAUAUUGCAUUUUCUUGUUUAGCGUUGUUUAGGUAGUAUUUACUUAAAUGAAUCUCUCAGGUUUGUUUUAUAGUGUUUGGAAAAAAUGAAUUGCAGACACCACAUAAGGUGUACAACACAUUCAUGCAGAUGAUUUCGGCUUGCUAUUAAUGAUCACCAAAUACAAGAUGAUAUCGACGUCCAUAAGUCCAAUGGUAACACAUGUUUCAGUAAAAUCAAAUUUAUGUACAAGAUUGAAUAUACACAAACCAAAUCCAUUUAAACCAAAGAAUAUUGCCCAAUGAACAUAUGUUACACACUGAUCUGGUAAUCAGUACUGAAUCAACCAGCAUGAACAUGCCAUAUUCAAUACCCCUUUAUCUCUAAAUAGAUAUCAGAAUCCUUUCCAAGCAGCAAGAACUUCAUUGAAGAUUUCACCAAUGAUUUCUCGGUCUGCAUACUGCAGAAAGGCAUUGAAAUCAUCUCUUAUAUCGAAUAUUUUACCAAACCUCACAAGAUACCUCAUACAACAGGCCUUCAGCUUUGGUAGUUGAUAAAGGGAAGCAGUUUGAAGCCUCUCAAGAACAUUCUUGGCAUCAAUAUCUUCCAUUAGACUUUCAUGACAUGCCUCCUUUAAAUCUGAAAGGUCAUAUUUAUCAGCGGCUCGAAGCAAAGCUAGCCUAUGGAUUAAAAAUUCUUCAUUUUGUAUGUUUCCAUAAAUGUAAUUCAGAAAACAUUGGCAAGCUUCUAUUGACAUGUCGGAGAUGUUUAUGGCAGAUAAUUCUUUCUCUUUGAGGUCAUGGGAGAACAUGCUUCGGAAGACAGGCGACCUUGAAGCAAGAACAGCACGAUGCGCCCCAAUACUUCCAUCAGAAGCAUUGAUUAUGAUGUCUGUGUGAAUGCUU